rnacentral:rRNA from 1 species
GACGAACGCUGGCGGCAUGCCUAAUACAUGCAAGUCGAGCGAACAGAUGAAGUGCUUGCACUUCUGACGUUAGCGGCGAACGGGUGAGUAACACGUAAGGAAUCUACCUAUAAGCGGGGGAUAACAUUCGGAAACGGGUGCUAAUACCGCAUAAUAUCUUCUUCCGCAUGGAAGAAGAUAGAAAGACGGCUCUGCUGUCACUUAUAGAUGACCUUGCGGUGCAUUAGUUAGUUGGUGGGGUAACGGCCUACCAAGACGAUGAUGCAUAGCCGACCUGAGAGGGUGAUCGGCCACAUUGGGACUGAGACACGGCCCAAACUCCUACGGGAGGCAGCAGUAGGGAAUCUUCCGCAAUGGGCGAAAGCCUGACGGAGCAAUGCCGCGUGAGUGAAGAAGGCCUUCGGGUCGUAAAACUCUGUUAUAAGAGAAGAACAAAUUGUAGAGUAACUGCUACAGUCUUGACGGUAUCUUAUCAGAAAGCCACGGCUAACUACGUGCCAGCAGCCGCUGUAA